rnacentral:rRNA from 1 species
CGUGGCUGGCCCGUGUGGGGGAACGUCCGGAACGGGCGCUAAUACCGCAUACGUCCUGAGGGAGAAAGUGGGGGAUCUUCGGACCUCACGCUAUCAGAUGAGCCUAGGUCGGAUUAGCUAGUUGGUGGGGUAAAGGCCUACCAAGGCGACGAUCCGUAACUGGUCUGAGAGGAUGAUCAGUCACACUGGAACUGAGACACGGUCCAGACUCCUACGGGAGGCAGCAGUGGGGAAUAUUGGACAAUGGGCGAAAGCCUGAUCCAGCCAUGCCGCGUGUGUGAAGAAGGUCUUCGGAUUGUAAAGCACUUUAAGUUGGGAGGAAGGGCAGUAAGUUAAUACCUUGCUGUUUUGACGUUACCAACAGAAUAAGCACCGGCUAACUUCGUGCCAGCAGCCGCGGUAAUACGAAGGGUGCAAGCGUUAAUCGGAAUUACUGGGCGUAAAGCGCGCGUAGGUGGUUCAGCAAGUUGGAUGUGAAAUCCCCGGGCUCAACCUGGGAACUGCAUCCAAAACUACUGAGCUAGAGUACGGUAGAGGGUGGUGGAAUUUCCUGUGUAGCGGUGAAAUGCGUAGAUAUAGGAAGGAACACCAGUGGCGAAGCGACCACCUGGACUGAUACUGACACUGAGGUGCGAAGCGUGGGGGAGCAAACAGGAUUA